rnacentral:rRNA from 1 species
CAUUGUGGCCGCACCACCCUAAACACGCCUGAUCUCGUCUGAUCUCAGAAGCUAAGAAGAGUUGGGCCUGGUUAGAACUUGCAUGAGAGACAAAAGAGGGGGACAGCCUUCACCUAGACCCAGGGUAUCCUGUGC